rnacentral:lncRNA from 10 species
AGCCAGCCCGGGCCCCGCGCCCGGCGCCCCGCGCGCGCGAGGAAGCUGCGGCCGGGAGCCGGGGCCGCGGAGGCGCCGAGCGCCCAGCAGCGCGGGGAAGCGCCCAGCAGCCGCCGCUCGCGCGGCUCCUCCUCGCCAGCGCAGUCUCGCUCGCUGCCUCCCUCGCUCGGUCGGUUCGUGCGUCCGUCCGUCCGUGGGGCCCUCCCUCCCCCGCCGCCACUGCCGCCGCCACUGCCGCCGCCACUGCCGCCGCCGCCGCUGCCGCAGCCUCCGCCGCUCCAGCCCCGGCUCGGCAGCGCGUCCCCUCCCCGCCUCGCCGCUCCGCUCGCGGGCUCGCGGGCUCCCUCGCUCUCUCCCUUCCCCCGCCGCUGCCGGCGCCGCGCCGAGCGGAGCCCGGCCGGCCACGGGCUGCCUCUCCCGAGGUCCCUUUCCCGAGGGGGGGAGGUGGUGGGGGCGCGGCGCAGGCGGGGCGGGGAGGAGAGGAGAGUCCGGGGGAGGCGGCAAGGCUGCGCCCUCGGCUCCCCUCCGAUCCCCGCGGGCCCAGCGGCCCCAGGCCGGGCCGGAGAGCGCCGAGCCGCCAGGCAGUGGAGGAAGAGAGGAGGAGGACCCGGAGUCUCGCCGCGGGAGGGUGCCCAGGGCGAGGGCGUGCGAGGGGGAGUGACUCCGCGCGCGAGGGGCAGCAGCACCUGCUUGAGACCAAGCCCGGCGACCUGGCAAGGUGGGGCCCCCUACCGCGCAAUCUUUGCGGCUGGCCCCCGGCUCUCAGCUCCGAGUGCAGAGGCUGAAGAGGUACCCGGGGGACACACUGCCUCUAACCCCACCUAUGAGCCGCUCUCCUCUCGGAGGACGAAGGCACCAUCAGAAGGUCGAGAUUCGCCCUCCUCUCCCGCCACGUCUACCCACUACCUAGACCGGGAGUCUGGACUUGGGAGCGUGAACUCUCACCCGAGCCGGUCCCCUUACAACUGGAGCCCGCCCAGCCCCUCAGUCCCUCCCUGAAGCCCAUGGGUCCCCACUGCUCCGUGCCUCGUCGACCCAGGAUGGGGAGUGGGAAGGUCAGCAUGUGCCCACAGGGCCAGGUGUCCGGCCCAGAUUCCCACCCUCAGGGCGGCGGCGCGCAAAGGGCGCAGUCCCCGCCGCUGGGCGGACCCGCGGCUCCGGCUUUCCCGGUGUCUCCAGCCUCGGUGCCCGGAAUCCUGGAUCUCGGCCUGGCGCUCCGGAAGCGAGGCAGCUCCGUGCCCCAGCAGGGACGGGGAACGCUUGGCUUGAGAGAUCACAUUUCUGGGUGUGGAGAGGUCCUAUCUGAUUGAUCUUAAGCACUAGCAUGAGGACAGAAAGAAGAAUGAGGGUGUUCCAUUUUCAGCUGAUCCUACAUGAAAAGAGCCCCAAAGCCCCACUCCUCCAGUAGGGAGGAAAGGAAAGUCUUUUCGUAUCUACAAAGUGAGCCUCAGUCGAUGCUGCCUGCAGAGACCUUGCCAGUGUUCUUUUCUUGAACCAGAUUGGUUUUCAGAUAACUCUUUUCUUUCCUUUCUGGCAGAAUGUCAAUCACAUAUCCAGAAUAUCACCUCCUUGGGCACAGCCAGGGCAUGGUCCAUUGAAAAUGUUCCUGAUUGCUGGAAGCUGACGGCUCACCAUAAAAGCCAAAAUGGGGACCUGUCAAAAAUGUUUUAGCCAAACUAUGGCUUGGCUCAGGAAGAUGCCAAGACCAAAGGCUGCUGAACUUUAAGUAUAAACUUGCAUGAAAAGCACAUUGCAGGUCUGAGACAGUGGAGGCUUAGUGGUGAGAACAUGAGCUCUGGAUAGACCUGGCUUCAAGUCUUGGCUCUGUCAUUCACCAGCUGUGUGAAUUUGGGCAAACCACUUUUCUUCUCUGAUGCUCAGUUCCCUCACCUAGCAAAAUGGGUUAUAAUGAUGGCAUCAACUCAUAAGGUUCAUGAGGACUGAGCUAGAUAAUGCAAACAACAUGUUUCAUAUACAAUAAUAAAUAAAAAUGUUGGCUGUUAUAAUAUUGUCACUGAGUCUACAUGUAUCUGAAACUAGCUCUUUUAAAUCCUGGGUACAGCUUUACAAGCAGUAUUGUGUAGUUUAGACAGAUCACCUGAGUUCUUUCUAUGUAAUUAUUGUUUCUACUGAACCUUGGUAAAUGUGUGAAAUCACAGAAGUUUGUCCCUAGACACUCCCCUCACCCCACUGGCUCCUCUCUCCAUUCUGUGCAACCCCAUUUCUGCAGCCUUGAGCUUCAGCCCAUUUCUCUCCAUUUCCUCCUCAUUAGCAAGAACUGAUAAAAUUAUUUGAACUGAUAUGUAAGUGACCAUCUCAUCCAGAGAUAUAGUAUUCACAUUUUAGUAGGUCAGAGCCUUAAGCCAAGGCAGUGAAAUAGAGUGGAUGGUACUUCAAGCAUUCAUCAAAGUAAUGGGGAAAGUUUGGGGUCCCAGGAGACUCUUCCCAAUUCCACAGAGUCCUGCCCAUUCAUAAAACUGGUACUAUUGAUGCAUUAUAAGCAACAAGGUGGUCCGUGUUUGAAUUCUGCAGCUGGAAAAUCAAGUCUCCAGCUUUUGCAAAAGUGUUGUAAUAGGGAAACUUGGACACUAAUUUUAUAUACCAACCUCUUCUUGGUAAAGAGACAUAGCUCAUGAGCACCAAGGCCUUUCCAGCAUUGCACAUCUAUGAUACUUAUACUCAAGUGCAUUUUUUUCUUCAGAGCUCAAGGCUAGAGUUGGGUGUUUUUGCCUCACUGGGUUUGUAGGAGACUCAGCUACAAAGUCAUUAAUUGCUUUGGUGAAUCAACAAGUAAAGAAAGACAGUCCAGCUAUUGUCCCCACACUGCAAAAUCAUAAGAGGCUUCUGGACUUCUCCACAAAAUCCUCAUUAAAGAUGAGUCCUCAUGGCUCUUACAGAAUUCUUUAUUAUGUCCUUUGUGCUGAGACUGCAAGGUAAAGAAAGAAAAAAGGGAAAUAACUAAAUUUGUUAUCAUGGAAAAUUUCAAACAUACAAAAGAUGAAAGAAUUGUAUAAUAUACCCCCAUGAACUUGUCAUUUAGCUUUGAAAGUUACCAACUCAUGGCCAAUCAUUUUUCAUCUGUACCCUACUCACACACUCCCCCACCAUAAUUUUGAAACAAAUUCCAAAUAUAAUUUCAUCUGUAAAUAUUUCUGUGAUUGCACCUUUGUUAUGGCCAACAAAAUCCAUCUUUCUAGAAGAGAAGUCAUUCUUCCCUCCCUCCAUGAUGCUAAGAACAUUUGGCCAGUACCUGCAUCCAUGCCCAGGAGUGGUCUCUGGGUUAGGCAAGCUUGAGGGUUUACUGAAUGUUAUCCAAAGUUUGUCCUUUUCCUUGGGUAGAAAAAGGAACCCAUAAAAUGUCUGGUAGAGGUGCCACUGUGUGCAAGCUUUUUUUUUUUUUUUUUUUUUUUUUUGUCAGCAGGGAUGAUGCUCAAUAGCUGUGAUGAGGUCCAAGCUGAGAGAAAAGAGUCAUGAUCAUGAAUCCCAACUGGAUUCAUCAUUUUCCACAUACUUUACUUCAUUUAGCUUUCACCAAUUCUCAUGUUAGUUCCAUUUUACAGAUAAGAAAACUAAGACCUAAGCUCACCCAGCUAGUAGUUACUUGUGGCAGAGACAGACUAGAUGCCAAUCAAAUUCAGUUCCUCUUUUCUGUAGAUACAGUUAGAUUACUUUCCCAGGUUCUCUUGCAGUUAGGUUUGGUCAUCUGACUAAGUUCUAGCCAAAGUAAUAUAGGCCAGUCCCAUGAAAAACAUCUAGGGCAAUUUAGCAUGUUCUUUCUUUCUCCAUCCACUGGCUGAAUGGAAAAAAUUUCAAGGGCUUAGAAGGGGACAGAGCCACAAGAAGGAAGGAACUUGGGUCCCUGGGUGACUAUGUGAAGUAGAGGUCCCUCCCAACUUCCUUUGAACUGUGAAAUACGCAAAAUAAAUAAAUAAAUAAAUUUUUAUUAUGUGAAACUGCUGAAAUGUGGGUGAUGUAUGUUCAAGUAGUAAUGCCUACCCUGACCAAUACAGUGGCAUAGAUGGGAUUUAAACCCUCAAUCUGACUAUGCCAGUGUCCAAAGUCUUCCCCUAAACCACACUGCCUCCAGGCACAACAAAUAAGAAUUGCUUAUAAGAAUCACCUACAUGCUCAGCAUGUGAUAGGACUGUCUUCAAGGAGAUCUCGCAUCUUAGAUUUGUGCUAAUAUGAUAGCCACUAGCCACAUGGGGCUGUUUAAAUUAAAGUUUAAAUUAAUUAAAAUAAAGUUAAAAAUUCAGUUUCUUAAUUGCAGGCUCACAUUUCAAGUGUGCAGUAGUCUUAUGUAGCUAAUGGCUACCACAUUGGAAUGUGCAGACAGAGAACAUUUCCGUCAUCAUGGAAAGUGCUGUUGGAUAAUGCUGUCUUAGAUAGACCUUCAUUCACAACGCACCCCUCCCCAGACCCCUGCAGAAAAGCUGGAAGAAGACGGGGAUGCUGCUCAC